AGGUGGCUCAAUGGUUAGAGCACCUGGCUUGGAAUCAGGAAGAUGAGUUCAAAUCUGGCCUCU
rnacentral:tRNA from 1 species